rnacentral:lncRNA from 1 species
ACUGAAGCGACUUAGCAGGCAUGCAUGCUGUUGGGAUAAGAAAGAUGUUUGGGAGGCAAGUGGGUCAUGAGAAUAUUUAGUACAGUUUAAUGGCUGUUACAUGACUCCUCGUUGUUUUACCAAAAGAAAUAUUCAGGCUUAAAUUUCUGUCAAGCAUUUUUACCGCUUGUGUUUCUCUUUGAUUGGCAGCAUAUCUUGUGGAGCCAAGUGGGCUUCAGAUCAAAUUCCUCCUUUCAGAUGCUACGCACUGAAUGAGAAAUUGGACAAGUUCAGUAAGCUCUCCAUGUCUCAGUUUUCUCAUAUAUGAAAUGAGGAUGGUGAUACGAUACAAGCCUGUUGAAAGGAUUAAAUGAGUGCACCCAUGUAAAACAUGUAGACCAUGCCUGGGCACAUGGCACUUUGCAUGUCAUCAUUGAGUUUUCCCACCCCAGACGCUGCAGACCGGCCUGCAAAGGGGAAAGUGGAAUGUGCGUGUUUCCCUGCCCGCCAGUCAUCUCCAAGGCAACAGCCAGGACUUCCACUCACCUGCAGACCCACACAGCCCACCUCACCGCUCCACAGGGAACCGCAAAGGGAACUUUGCCAGAACAAGUGCCAUGCCAGCAGCUUUGC